rnacentral:rRNA from 1 species
CUAUGUACACCCAAGUUGAUAGGUGGUUUAAGUUUCUAGGAUUCGCAUUGCUUCAAUCUUGCCUUGCUACUGAAACAUGUAUGGUGUCUGUUAUGCAAUCCAGAAUCAUUAUGUGCAAAAGUUUUGAGAGCAAAAUAUUAUCCAGAUGAUAAAUUGAUGAAUGCAAGAAUGAAGAGUGGUGCCUCAUUCACAUGGUAAAGCAUCCUUGCGGGUCUCCAAACUUUCAAUAGGGGGUGUAUUUGGCGCCUUGGAAACAGAAGCCAAAUAAAAAUUUGAGACGAUUGUUGGAUUCCAAAUAGUCACCCGGGCAAAGUAACUACACCAAGAGGUAAUAAUCUUUUGACCAUGGUCUCUGAUUUAAUUGAUCGAACAAUAGGAGGAUGGGGCAAGCAGCUAGUCAAAGAUACCUUUUUGCCAAUCGAUUCAUCAAGGAUCCUUGCUAUCCCACGAUCACAAAAUGGCAUGGAGGAUUUUGUUGCAUGGAAAUUUACAAAUAAUGAUCUUUUCUCGAUAAGGUAUGUGUACCAUGUACAAUGGAAUCACCAAUUUGGCGCACAAGAGUGUUGGAAAUAUGCCCUAGAGGCAAUAAUGUUAUAUUAUUUAUUUCCAAUUUUAUAA